rnacentral:rRNA from 1 species
UACGGAGGGAGCUAGCGUUGUUCGGAGUUACUGGGCGUAAAGCGCGCGUAGGCGGCUUUGUAAGUUAGAGGUGAAAGCCCGGGGCUCAACCCCGGAAUUGCCUUUAAGACUGCAUCGCUUGAAUCCGGGAGAGGUGAGUGGAAUUCCCAGUGUAGAGGUGAAAUUCGUAGAUAUUGGGAAGAACACCGGUGGCGAAGGCGGCUCACUGGCCCGUAACUGACGCUCAUGCACGACAGCGUGGGAAUCAAACAGG